rnacentral:sRNA from 1 species
ACGUGUUCCAAGGGAGAUUGCGGCUCCACUUUCACCCUGGUACUGAGCAGUUGAGCACAAAAUUGGUAACCAAUGCUGCGCUUCCAGCAAAUUUUCCCACCAGCACCCAAUCCUGGGAUAUUUAUUCUCUUUGUCUCACAUCCUACAGGAACGCAGUCGCGGGGUAUAUCCCCCUGAAAAGCGUACUUUGCCGAAUAAUGAUUUCUUUGGAUUAGAGAACUACAACUCCCCUGGGUCCUGAGCCGGUAUUUCCCUUUUGCGGCUGCACAGUAGUUAAAAACAAAGCUAAGUGUUCUGGGACGUAUAGUUCUAGCAUUCCUUGGGUCCCGCUGGCGAGCGUGGGCUUUCUGCAGAGCGCAACCGGCCUCGUGUGCUUUGUGGACGGUUCACCGCGCUUGGAAAGGGAUUGGCCUGGGGUACAUCAUCUAAAGAUCCUAGGAUUGCUGCAGGUCAGCAGUCUCCACUGGAAAAAAAGAUCUUGCCUUUGAUUUGUUGGAGAAACUGUUACCAGAAAAACAGGUCCCGAUCCUGACCUCAAAAGAGUAUUCUUGGAUCUUGCACAGGAAGGAAUUAAAGGGGUACCCUCUGGAAACCAGAACCUCGUAUCCUGCACAGCCCAGUGUUGGGAGAUAAAAUAAGCAAAAUACACCACUGAGUGAAUCUAAGAAAUUGGAUGUGGAGCCAAACCUGCUUCCACCUUUUGAUUUCUGGACACACAUGUUCUUCCUAUCGAGAACACAGCACCGUAGAGACGUCUCUGAUUCAAACAAUGCACCAUGUCCUGAAAGAUGGCACCCACCCCUCAGAGUGCUUCCUCCAGGCUGGCACUGAGCUGUGCCUGUAGAAGACCUGUCCAGCAUUCCUUGUGGCUGGCAGCCCCUGGGUGGUGCAGAUGGUGAUAGGAAUAGUGGAACCCACAGCCAUGGAAAUACUAAAACUUUCCCUGCCAAGUGGGUCCUUCAGGCAGAUAAUGGGCUAGGAGCACCGCCUGGCCUGCGGAUCAGGAAUGUGAACAGCCCCCAGAGAGUGGUGCUGGCUGAGUGUCUGAGAGCAGGACAGAAAAACCCACCCAUAGAAUAGGUGCCUAACCCUGUGAAGAUGAACCUGUGGCCCUUCCAGGAUGGAGGUAGCUAAAUGUAGUCAACUUGUCACUUAGUGGCUAGGUAGUUACCUAAAGAAACAGUGCCCCACUAGGGCACAUCAUGGGCCUCAAAUGCCGAUGAGUUGGACAUUCAGAGGUGGCAGAAGCUGGAUCUGCCUUGGUAGGGGGAAGUCAGUGCUGUUGGCCCCAUACAUAGCCUCAUGCCUACCUCUGUGGUUGCUCCAUUCAUGCACCCCUCCUACCAGGCCUGGGCUGACCCAUGGUGAAGGCUGGCUAACUUCCAUUUGUCUGUUUGGUUGUUCACUGCCACUUCAGACUUGGGUGUUUUCUGUGGGUGUCAACAUAGGAUUCAAGCUCAACCCAGGUGGACCAUUUUCACCUCAUGAUGGAUGCUAUUGGGCUUGUACCAUCUAUGACUUUGUGGGUUACACAGGCACUUGGAACGACAUAGUUGCUUGGUGUCCUGUGGUCAAGCAUUCUAUCUAAUCAGGACAAGGAACACUAAAAGUUGCUUCUAACAGGGGGCUAUGUCUCUGCCAUGGAUGACAUGACCUUACUCCAGAAUCCCAGGCCCUUCAUUGUGACUCUCCCAUUGGUGCUUGGUUGAGCUCCAUCCCGCAUCUUUCCCCACCACUGGCACCACCAGCACCAGGGGGUCUGAGGGAUGGUGACUGCUUGCACCAUGGCCUAGAUCUGCUGCAGGGUCCUUUCCUGUAUAGGCCCCACUUGAAGCUGGCAUCCUCCUAUGUCACCUAGACUGUGGGCCAAAGCAAUAUGUCUAGAUGUGGAAUGUGGUGUUGUCAGAACUCUAAGAGGCUCUUCAGGCAGUGUGCUUCCUUCCUUCUGGUGAGGAUACAAGAUGAAACAGUUUGUCUUUUACCUUGAAGAGGACACCUCUGCAUUCCCCUAAACACUUGGCACUUGUUCACCCAUAAAACUUCACUUUAGUGCCCACUUUUGAAGCUCUGUAAGGUUUAUCUUCACCUUGUGGGGUGCGUGUGUUUUGCAAAGGACUCCAGUGCACUUUCUACCUGCUGCUCAUCUACCCCAGUCAACAUGAAGUUGUCAAUGAAAUGUACUGAUUUAAUAUCCCAAAGGAUGUACAGUAUGUCUAGUAUAGUCUUAAGCCUAUACUGUAGCAGGCAGGGGAGUUACAAUAGCCCUGAGGCAAAUGAUAAAUAAAUGUGUUGUUGAUUCCA